GCAAUCUGGAGACGCCCGUUCAUACGGGGGCCGAAGGGGCGAGACGCAACGCGACACUCUCAGGCAAAAGGACAGACUG
rnacentral:ncRNA from 1 species